AGUUUUCUUUGACUCCCUGCCUGCGAGGGCCUCUGUCCUGGCAAGGGGGCAGAGGGUCAUUAGGCUUUGCUCGCCUCUCCUCCUCCUCACUGGGAAAAGAUGUCGAGGUCCUAGAAAAACAGGGGAGAGAGGAGCAUAUUGUUUUUGGCCUACUUUUCCCCUCUUAGGCCUGUUUUAUGAACCCUUGUUUUUAUAUUCUGGCCCAAUGGCCAGGAAAAUUCUUUUUCUCCCUGAAGAAAUCAUGAAAGACAGCAGGGAGCUCGGUUCUGUUCCAAAAGCUGGUGGGGAAGUGUUAAUAAUCCUGGUGAUAUGCCACCACCCUGGGAGAACUUGGAAAGGCACUUCAUUUAGGAAGAAGUAGAAACCAUUUCCAUGCCUGGAAUGUUCUGUGAAAGAGAAAAAUGGACAGGAAUUAUGUAUGUCUCACCGGCAUCCAGCAUUGUGUGGGGCAUGUAACAGGAAGUCUGUACGUUCUACUUGCUGUGAUGACUGACCACCUGGAAGUGUACUCCUCAAACUGGGACUCUAUUUCCAAGCUGCCAUUUCUCUGUCUUGGUUAUUAGAUAUAUCAUUUGUCAAAACAUAAACUCUACAAGUGGAAAGAAGUAGUUAUCACUCUUGUGGUCCCCCCAUCUCUUUUUAAAAGUUGAAAUCAACCAUUAGGCUCAAUCAAUUUCCUGCAAAGCCCUGACCUUGUUCCCAGCCCUCGACCACGGGGUUGCUUCUGUUCUGUGUUUGCCUGGCCUUGCCCCAUCAGUGCCCUCCCUUGCCUCCCCCUCUGCUGGGUGCCUUUCCUGUACUUGGACUCAGUGGCUGACAGGUGGUUUGGGGGGACUGGAGGAGAAAAUGUGGGCAUGCUGAGUGUUACAAUAGGGCAGGCUUUGUCCAGGCGCCAUGGUGCGUCUCCACUGACCUUGGAACUGAGUGACUGGGGACAACCGAGGGGAGGCAGUUUCCUUCCCUCUCCGGGCUGCAGGUUUUUAAUGUCUUCUUUGUUGGUCUGGGCCCCUGGAGACUGAACUGAAGGGAGAGACUUUGGGCUGCUCCCUCCCUCCCGGACAAAAUGGUGCAUGCUUUUCCUGUUUAAACAGGGCGCAGUUGUGAAGUGCCCUGACUUCGCACACACUAAGGCCCGGCAACGGCUGCAAUAAAUCAAUAGGAAAAUAGAAGCUGCCAGUUAGACUAAACAAGUGCAUUUGCAAAGACGGCUAGCCCUCAUUAAUCACUCUGACAGUCCUAAAAACACAUUUCCCCUUUAAUGACUGUAUUUGGAUAAUCAGUGCUUUUUCCUCCUCAGUCAGAGUUUGAGUAACAGACAGCUGGUGUUAUUACAGCCAUUGGGGAGGGAGUGCUGGGAUUAGGGUCGACCCAGAACCGGUCCACUGGAGGUCUCCGCAAACGGAGCUGGCUGCAAAGCUGUUGUUAUGCAAUAAUGAGGGGAAGCUUUGUACUGCCAUUGAUGGCUCCCGGGCAGCCAUGUGCAAGUUCCCCCCAAACCUUGACACCCACCUGCAUUAUGUGAACACAAAAGCCUCAUGUUGGGUUUUAUGAGCGUUGGCAGAUUUCACCCGGUGGGGGAGGCAGGAGUUUCUCUGGCAGUGAGGUAAGAAGAUGGGUCGGUGUGAUUUGGCUUUGUUUCCUUUAGGUGACUUUGGCUUUCAGGAGAAAGUUUAAAACCCAGUACAUUCCUCUUUAUAAAUGAUGUAACACAUUAAUGCACAGCACAUUAUGAAAAUGGUAAUUCAAACCCAUAGUGCUCCAAAUUAAACCAUACAUUAUCGGAUGCACUCAACCAUCUAUUUUACAAAAAGACAGGAUGAAUGAAAUCAAAUCAAACAGAAAACUGGAGUGCAGUUUCCCCUACAGAAUGAUUAAUAAAGUGCAGAGCCAAAGGAUUAUUGUAAGACGAAUGCCACGGUAACCCAGACAUGCAUCAGGAAGGAGUUCAUAUAUUGAGAGACACAUCACAGGAUGCUGGGUAGGGUAAGGCAGUUAUGGCUGCCUAAGGAUGGUGAAGGGCCCCACACCUCCCACUUGGGCUGCAGAUUUUUUAGGAGGUGGGUUUGUGUGUGUGGGGGGGAUGACUGGGAAGUUAAAAGCUUAACACCAUGCAAUUCUGUUUGUGUCAAACCUAUAUCUGGGUGUGAGUCUUUCCCCUCUCUCUCCUCCUCCCUUCCUCCCAACUGCUGCCCGCGAGGCCACAAAAAUAACCAGGCAAGAGGUGUGAAAAUAUGACUGAGAGCCAGGAACGUCCAGUGUCUCAAGUUCCAGCUCUGUGGCUUCCACCCUUCCUGGUGCCUUGGGAACACAGGCCCCAUUUCUGGCGCCUGGGAGAGAUGAGGAGGAAGAGGGGGAGGAAGGCUAGGAUGAGAAGGCGGUGGAGAAAUGGAAGGUGGAGGUAAUUCUCAAAGAAGAGUUGUUGGAUGAAUUAUGCAAAUAAGCAGUUGGUGGGGAGUAUUCUCUCUAUUAAAACAACAACUUUGUUUAGAAUUUAGCUACUGAAAGUAACAAACUCCCCACCAGCUAAUUAAAACAGCCACAUUUGUUAGCAAUGCCACCCAUUUAUGGUGGGGAGAACUGACAUUUUAGGAUGAGAACUAGGGUACUCCAGACUAUGAUGCCUGCCCUUUGGUGUCACAAUGGCAGUUGGGGGCAACCUUCCAGGUCCACAAAGGCCGUUAAUACAUUUUCUGGGGGAAACUCAUUUGUCUGAAGAGUUUCUAACCUGCAUUUUCAAACCGCACUGUAAGCCAAAAAGCCAAAAGCUUCUUUUGCUACAUGGAUAGUUUGCUGUUGGAGAUACUGAGUCUCUUCCUUCUGUGGUUCCAACAAGAGGAACCCAUUGGUCCUUACGUAGGGAGGCCUGAAGACCAUCAAGUUUAAGAAAAAGAAAAGCUUCAGUCUCCCUGCAGAGGGAGCAAUCUUCAGCAGCUUUAGAAGGCAUUAAAAAAAAAAAAAAGUAAGAAAAAAAGAAAAAAGAUGGGAAAGAAAUAACCAACUGCAAACAAAAUAACACAGACAAAAAAAAAAUUACAGCAGAUCACAUUUCAUGUCUUUUAAAGUUUUGGGCCAAUUCUCAGGAAGAUCCUGACCUGGUUUAAGGGCGACUUCUCCAGCCCAUGCAGCCUCUCCCUGACUUAAGUCUCCUGCCCUCCAGGAUGCCAGCAGCCCUGGCCCCUUCCUCAGGGACACACAUAGGGUCUUAGGGUGGCCAGCACUGACAGUUUCUGCAGAAGCCUGAGGUUCUCUUGACUAGUGAAGGAAUUUUGCCCAGAAACAAAGAUAUAGGGUCAACCUCCUUAAAAACCCCAAACCCCAAGGCCCACAAAAACGUCUUAUGCUUAGGUCUGUCAAGUGCGGAUGGGAUGACUCCGGGUGAGGCUGGGACCCCCGCGCUGUGAUUCUCUAGUGGAGUUUGGGGACGGCUGGAACAGCGCGGGCAGACAGGGCAUCCCUCGCAUCCCUUCCACACGUGACCUCCAGUCUACGGACGUUUCAGAAGUACGCAGUUUGCGGAGCGCUAACUACCCAACAAGUCGCAUUCCUCAGAAAAAGCAAAGCAAAGCAAACACAAAAGCAACAACUACAGACCCCGAAGCUGCGUGACGCCGACGCGGAAGAGUGCAGCCAGGAGAGGGCGAGGAAGGCCUUUUUGAAGUACACCCAACAGGUGGCCCCGUGCAUCCUGGGCGCAGGAGGCCGAGCCCACGUGCCCAGAUCGGGUGAGCCUCGAGCGAGCAGGCGCCCAGGGUCCCGCGGCAGGAACCUGCGUGGGGCCGGCCUCCGCUUGCGCCCCUGAUUGCUGCCCCGGGAACCAGCUAUCCCCAGGGAGGACGCGGCUCUGGCCUCCUGCAGUCAUCCAUCUUCUCCGCCGGCCUCAGGGAUUCCCCGUGCAGUGGGAAGGUGCCCUGGCCCUCGUACCACUCUCUCUAUAAACGGCACCCCACCUUCGCCUUUCCGAGGAUGCAGACGCCAGUCAGUCGUGGGAGCUCAAGAAAACAGGGACCCAGAAUGGCUUCAAGGUCCGAACUAAUAGCCGCACUUUCUCAGCAAAACCCAAACAACCGCUGGCAUUGGGAAGCCUCCAAGCCUUGCGAAGCACCCAUUUCAGCAAGUGCAUUUACCCUUUGGUUUCAGGUGUAUAGAAGUCAUCGUCAAGAGGACGUCCUUGGCAUGUACAGUGGGAAGCGCGCAAGGUGCGGUCAGGGCUGGCGCCAGUCGCUCGGCUUUCUACCACCAGGUGGCGCCAGAGGCACAUCGUCUUUGCUCACCCUUAGGACUCUGGUACUGUGCUGCCAGAAGUCUGAGCCUUGGGUCUUGGUUCCCUUCUCAGGACCUCGAACCUCACUCAUAUCUAGGUCCAGAGGAAAAUCCACAUUUACACACUCCCGCCACCCUGUCCCCAGGAAAUGUCAAGGUCUUUGAAGUGAGUCUGGGAGCUAAAUCACCAAGU